GAGGAAGCCUGGAGCUGCGGCAGAAGCGUGAGGGAGACGUGGGUGGAGAUGGAAUGGCUGUUUUAAGAUGGGAGACACAAGAACACCUUUACUUGCUGCAGAGAAAGCUGGUGAACAAAAAGCAAACAGUACAAGAAGGGGUGACUGCAGAAGUUUCUGGGAGAGGCAGGACUGCUGGGAUCCAGAAUUAAGGGUGCGGUGCAGCAGGGAGAUGAAGUCUCCCUCUGUCUCCCAGGCUGGAGUGCAAUGGCACAAUCUCAACUCACUGCAACUUCCACCUCCUGGGUUCAAGCAAUUCUCCUGUCUCACCCUCCUGAGCAGCUGAGACUACAGGUUCUAUAAAAUACCAUGGGAGAACUGCACUGGUGGUGGGGCACUGAGGCAGUUUCCAGUUCCUAACACGACAUCACUACGCCAAACAUCCUCGUCAAUGAAACUUCACUUGCUAUCUAGUUCCCCGGAAAACAAUCUAGUUUUUCGAAGGGUUUGCACAUUUUAUCAUCAUUUGCUUGAUUUUGCCAAAUUGGCCUCCAGAGAGACCACUGACUGCACCUUGUGAGCAGGGAAGCAUAUGUGUUUCCUCACAUCCUGCCAACACGGGGCAUGGCACUGACCUUUCAGAUCCAUUCCUGUCCGCCAGGCAAAGAACUCUAUGUCAUUGUCGGGGCUAGUUUUGAGAGCCAUGUUAAGCAGGCUUCCUCCAUUCCUCUAUCUGACCAGGCAGUUCGCAUGAGCUGGCUUCAUCUGCCCUUCUGCUUUGAAGCAGCACAUACAGGAUGUUUAAUCAACAGCCGCAGGCAGUGAAGGAAGAGGGUCCCCGGAGCCUGGGACAUCAGCUUUCAGUGAUGUGCGAGCCGCUGUGGGAGCCCUGAACAGAAGCAGGGAUGGCAUGCUGCUCUUCCCAGAGCUGCCUGAGCUGCCCUAGUGGGGCCACCUCCCAAGGUGGAUUUCCCUUCAAGAACCUUCUCUUCCCCUUGGCUCUGUUUCGGUGGUCUGCCUUAGUAUUCACUGUCAUGUUCAUGGUUGGGCCCAGCUCUUCCUUAAAUCUGCAGUGCAUCCAUGAAGUCUUGAGCGCUGAGGCAGGGGCUGCAGGAGUACUGCACCAGUGUCAGCGGGAGCUCUUCCUUUGUGCUUAACCAGUCAGUCGAGUAGACAAAGAGUGUGACAGCCCCUCGUACAACAAUCUGCCCUUCUUCGUGGGGUCAGUCUGGGCACAAAGCCCAGUGGGGCAGCCACCAGUAAAGGCAGCCAGCAAGCUCUGUGGCCGCCACGGGGAGCACAGUGGGGGCUCACUGAAAACCCACAGUGAGUACAACGCGGCAGGAAAAAGGAAUCAGGAGCUCUUUACAACCCAAUCAGGGAUGACGGCCAAAACAUACCCUGAAAUGCAAAGACGGUGCGAGAACGGCGGAUACGUGCACACGCGCACAGAGGCUGGCGACCUGCCAGGUGGCUCUGGCUCAGCGGAAGGGGCACAUUUUCAACAUCAAAUUUGAAAGGAGUACUUUCAAAAGGGCACUCCUUGGUACCUUCUGAAUUUUGUUCUAUUUGCUUUUGUCUAUUGAGAAAAGUAAAAAUGCAAUCAACAACACUGAUCCCAAUAAAGCGCCCUCCUUCCUAGUAAAGCUCUUGGCACAAAGCAUCACCCUGCUGGCCUGGCUGCCUGAAAGGCAGGUGCAGGAUGUUGUUUCAUUCAUUCCUUGGCAUUUAAAGGGCAAUUGCCACGGGCCCUGGAGCUACAGACAGAUUCCACAGAAGACACUGAUUCAUGAAAUCAGUUUAACAUGGCUAACAGAGAGCGAAGUCAUAAACUUAGGAUAUGGAGAAGGUAGCUUCAAAUCUGUCUUGAAAGGAUGAAUCAUUAAGACCAAAAAAUCAGGCAUGGUGGCUCACACCUGUGAUCCCAGCACUUUGGGAGGAUCAAGUGGGAGAAUCACUUUAGUCCAGUGGUUCAGCUUGAACAACAUAGGGAGACUUUGUAUGAAAAAAUUAAAAACUAGAUGGUGUGGUGGCAUGUGUUUGUAGUUCUAGCUACUAAGGAGGUUGAGGCAGGAGGAUCGCUUGAUCCCAAGAGGUCGAGACUGCAGUGAGCCAUGAUGGUGCCACUGCACUCCGGCUGGGUGAUAGAGCAAGACCCUGUCUCAAAAACACAAAACAAAACAAAAGACAAAAAAAUUGAUGUUGGGUCCACUGGCUCUUUGGGGAUGGAAAAAAAAGUUAGAUCCUUAUCUCAUACGGAGGACAAACAGAUUACAGAUGGGAUUAAGAGCUGAAAGAAACAAAGUUAUGCAAUCCUGAAAGAAAAUAAACCACACUAUUUUUAUGGUCUUGGUGGGAACCCUUCCUCUUCCAAACAGAAAAACUAAAUCACACAAAAAUCCCAAUCAAUUCUCUGUAUUAUCCAUAUCCUGUGAAUCUAAAUCUGUUCUAAAAUAAA